rnacentral:rRNA from 1 species
AGUACAGACGAGUUUGAUCCUGGCUCAGAGCGAACGCUAGCGGCGAGCUUAACACAUGCAAGUCGAGCGGAGGGUUUCGGCCCUCAGCGGCGGACGGGUGAGUAACACGUAGGUUACGUGCCCUUUGGUGGGGAAUAACUUAGGGAAACCUGAGCUAAUACCGCAUAUGCCCUUCGGGGUGAAAGUCUUCGGACGCCAGAGGAUCGGCCUGCGGCCCAUUAUUUAAUCCUUGUUGGUGGGGUAACGGCCUACCAAGGGUACAAUGGGUAGCUGGUCUGAGAGGAUGAUCAGCCACACUGGGACUGAGACACGGCCCAGACUCCUACGGGAGGCAGCAGUGGGGAAUAUUGGACAAUGGGGGAAACCCUGAUCCAGCUACGCCGCGUGGGUGAUGAAGGCCUUCGGGUUGUAAAGCCCUGUCGAGGGGGACGAAGUUCUGACGGUACCCCUCAAGAAAGCACCGGCUAACUCCGUG